rnacentral:rRNA from 1 species
UACGGAGGGUGCGAGCGUUGUCCGGAAUCAUUGGGCGUAAAGGGCGCGUAGGUGGCCACUUCAAGCGUGCGGUGAAAGUCGGGGGCUCGAACCCCUGAUCGGCCGUGCGAACUGGGGGGCUGGAGCACUGUAGAGGCAGGCGGAAUUCCGGGUGUGAGCGGUGGAAUGCGUAGAGAGUCCGGAAGAACACCGGUGGCGAAGGCGGCCUGCUGGGCUAUGGCUGACACUGAGGCGCGACAGCGUGGGGAGCGAACAGG